rnacentral:rRNA from 1 species
GACGAACGCUGGCGGCGUGCCUAAUACAUGCAAGUCGAACGGUCUUUUCUAUGGAAGCUUGCUUCCACUGAGAAGAUAGUGGCGAACGGGUGAGUAACACGUGGGUAACCUGCCCAUAAGAGGGGGAUAACAUCCGGAAACGGGUGCUAAUACCGCAUAGUUUUCUUGAUCGCAUGAUCGGGAAAGGAAAGACGGCCUUUGUGCUGUCGCUUAUGGAUGGACCCGCGGCGUAUUAGUUAGUUGGUGAGGUAACGGCUCACCAAGACGAUGAUACGUAGCCGACCUGAGAGGGUGAUCGGCCACAUUGGGACUGAGACACGGCCCAAACUCCUACGGGAGGCAGCAGUAGGGAAUCUUCCGCAAUGGACGAAAGUCUGACGGAGCAACGCCGCGUGAGUGAAGAA